rnacentral:snoRNA from 2 species
AAGACUAUACUUCACAGGAUCAUUUCUGUAGUCAGUCUUCAAUUACUUUCAUUGCAAAAUGGAAAACCAUCAACCUGCGAUGAGGAGGUACAUCGUUCUAUCUGUAGCGUGAGGUUUUGAACUUUGCCAUUCUUUUGGGUUUCUUCGGAAUUCCAUCGAUGGCAUUGUUUCUUCGAUGAUCGCUCGAUUUAAACGGAUAGAACGACUUCUGAGUGGU